rnacentral:lncRNA from 1 species
UUUCCUGAAAAAUCAAAACAGCUCUUCCAAGUGGGCCCUGCUUCCAGGGGCAGUGUGAAGCUGGGCAUGCUUCCCUGUGCCUGAGUGUGAGCAUGAAGGUAUCCGGAGGAGGGAAGGGUGUCUGAAGGUCAGGCUGCUGGGAAUCCAAACCUCCAAGCCUGAUUUACAGCCCUGGGCCUCAGGUCUCCUCCCACUCAGCCCACAAAAUCCCCCAAUUUUCUUCUCUGUGAGCCAGCACUCUUCAGAGCUGGGAAAUGAGAUCUAAGCAGUGGCUUUUUUCUGGGCUUACGUACGCUAUGGAUUCUUCCCUGAGAUGGUGGCAGAGAGGAAGGGAAGUGGUUCUUGAAAGUGUGGGCAGAACACUGGGGUGAGUCAGAAAACAGCAGCCAGCCUGCAACAGGCUGGAGACCAUCCAGCCUCACGCUCUCCUUGGCUCCCUUUCUUUUUGAUUUCCUCUCUUAUUGUGACUUUCAAAUAAAAUCUUAUAGGGAAACCCAACAUACUAAACUUAACAACAGAACUGCUCCAAGCUACAGAGGAUCAAGGAUCAAGUUCUGCUUCUUUGUUCUUUCCCCGAGCAUCUGCCAGGAUGGAGCCUGUGUGUUCCCUGCCUGGAUCUCUUGGCUUCAUGGAACACAGCUGCAUAGCUCUGCUGUGAUCCAACACCAACAUGUAAGACAUGGGAUGAUUGAUGCUCAGGAAGGUGGUGAGUCUCACUUAAAGUCACACAGGGAACUAGGGGGCCAGUUGGUGCACCUAGAGACCCCUGGCUUUCCUCUUCCUCCUCCUCUUCCUCCUCCCCUCCCUCCUCCUCUUCCUCCUUCUCCUUCUUCCUCUCUUUUUCUUCUUCCUCCUCCUCUCCCUCCUCUUCCUCUUCUUCUUCUAGUCGUCUGUAUGGGAUGCCAUGUGGGCUCUGUAAAGACCUUAGGUUAAGCAAUGAGUAAACCUCAUUUUCAGUAAGGAAAAAGUCAGUGCUUCGAAUUUCUAGGUUUAUAGCUCCAAGAAAUCAGCUCCUUCAGUCUGGCUGUUAGCCCAACUUCCAUACCCCCAGGGAGUGGUUCUUCUCUUCAAACUUGGAGCCAGCAGUCCCCUUUCACUUCCUUGCACAUAUCAUUUCUCCUGGGCUGGGCUUCUGCCUCCUUGUUGCUAUAAAGUGAAACGAGAAUGCAUUUCUUUUUCUUUACCCUAGCAGGACUCGACCUGCCUCUGAGCCUGGCUCAGGUAUGAAGAUGUGCACCUACUCCUAGCUUUGUAAGCCAAGCUCUGCCUGAAUCCCUAUCCACUUGUUCCCAACUAUGCUGACCACAAACGCUCUGCUUAGCACCCAGGACUUC